AUUGAACGCUGGCGGCAUGCUUUACACAUGCAAGUCGAACGGUAACAGGGAGCUUGCUCCGCUGACGAGUGGCGAACGGGUGAGUAAUGCAUCGGAACGUGCCCAGUGAUGGGGGAUAGCCCGGCGAAAGCCGGAUUAAUACCGCAUACGACCUACGGGUGAAAGCAGGGGAUCGCAAGACCUUGCGUCAUUGGAGCGGCCGAUAUCAGAUUAGCUUGUUGGUGGGGUAAAAGCCCACCAAGGCGACGAUCUGUAGCUGGUCUGAGAGGACGACCAGCCACACUGGGACUGAGACACGGCCCAGACUCCUACGGGAGGCAGCAGUGGGGAAUUUUGGACAAUGGGGGAAACCCUGAUCCAGCAACGCCGCGUGAAUGAAGAAGGCCUUAGGGUUGUAAAGUUCUUUGUCAGGGAAGAAAGUUUCUGUGCUAAUACCAUAGAACGAUGACGGUACCUGAAGAAUAAGCACCGGCUAAACUACGUGCCAGCAGCCG
rnacentral:rRNA from 1 species